GAGAAGACAGCCUUCAAUUCAGGAGAAGAUACCAAUUUCAAACGUGGGGCAGAAGGAGCACUGGAGUAUUUCCUGCCAACUGGAUAUAUAACCUGUAGGUAUAUCUUCUGUGGAUGGCGCCAAGUGGAUCCUGCAACCAUUUUGUUUAAAUCCAAAUCCAGCAGUGGGACAGCAAAUUUAACCUCUUCUGGCUUAUCAAUAUUUGAACUCAAAGACAUUUCAAUCCCCUCUCUGGAAAGCAUUGUGCUGAUUUCAAACUUCAACCUGUCAUCAUCAACUUGUUCGACUCUUUUCUUUUGGUACGCCUUGUACAACUCCCUCAGCUGCAGAACCAGAGUGAAAAGACUAGUCGGAUCUCUAUUAUUCCAGUCAGUAAGAGGGUUCUUCAAUGACUUUGAGUCACUAGCAUCACUGACAGCAUGAUAAGGUCGAAAAGUUUCAUCUUCCGACCCAAAUAUAACAUCUGGUGCUGCUAAUGGAUACACAGCAUUGUACAUCACAUCCCAUUUGAUGAAAUCAAGACAGAAGGGGAUUACUAACGAGAACCGAUCAAGCAAACCAGUGUUUUUGCAUCCUGAACACAUAUUUUCUACCUUAACAGAGAAUGGAGCGUGAGUGACUAUGUAAUUCAGCUGUGCAGCGAUGAGUGGAGGGACUGCGUCGAUCGCCAUGGCGGAGAAUCGUCGGAAUUUCACACGGAUUGCUUUAACAGCCGUCGGAGUUCAAUCGGUGCUUUUUUUAAUCCGGCAACGAUACGGAUGGAUACGGGCUCCGUCUGAUAAUU
rnacentral:misc_RNA from 1 species